ensembl:lncRNA
GGCGAGGAUGACCUGAACAGCGAGUACACUGAGAGUGUUGAUGAAGAGGAGGCUCAGAGCUGUGGCGCUGCUGGAAAGUCUCCGUCUCAGGACCUGUUGGUUGACGGCCAGGGCCUGAUGGAGGUCAAACAGCUGGUGGAGCAGAAGCGGGUGGUGGAGAGAGAGCUGGGGGAGCUGAAGGUGCAGCUGGAGAAGGCUGGAUUCUCCUCACUGUCACAGAUGAGGAAAGCUUUGUUCAGCCUGCAAGCCGAGAACCAAGACCUGAAACUGCAGCUGACUGAAGGGCUGCAGGCGGACAGGAAGCAGAGUGAUGCUGAGCAGGAAGAGGAGGAGGAGGAGGAAGAGGAUGCUGGAUGUGACCAUAGAAGGAGAGAAGAAGAGGAGGAGAUCUCUGAGCUGUGGGACACCUGGGACGGAGAGCUGUCUCUGUCUCAAACCAGGAUCAGUGACGAGCAAAGGAGUCCGAGAGCCGGCGGACCCGAGUUCAGCGGCUCCUCAAAGGUGAGACGACGACAGUGUUUCUGUCAGAAAGGGUCAAGAAGUAGGAAAGCCACUGUAAAUGCAUCUUCUUCUUCUAACCCAGGAC